rnacentral:tRNA from 1 species
GCCCAGGUGGUGGAACUGGUAGACACACCAGCUUGAGGGGCUGGCGCCGCGAGGCGUGAGGGUUCGAAUCCCUCCUUGGGCA